rnacentral:rRNA from 1 species
GGGGGGGGGGGGGGGGGGGGGGGGGGGGGGGGGGGGGGGGGGGCGGGCGGGGGGCGUGCGGCUCUGGGGUUAGCGGCGGACGGGUGAGUAACACGUGGAGGACCUACCUAUAGGACUGGGAUAACUUCGGGAACCCGGAGCUAAUACCGGAUGAUAUCUUGAACCGCCGGGUUCAAAAGUGAAAGACGGUCUUUCUGUCACGUAUAGAUGGAUCCGCGCUGCCUUAGCUAGUUGGUAAGGUAACGGCUUACCAAGGCAACGAUGCAUAGCCGACCUGAGAGGGUGAUCGGCCACACUGGAACUGAGACACGGUCCAGACUCCUACGGGAGGCCGCAGUAGGGAAUCUUCCGCAAUGGGCGAAAGCCUGACGGAGCAACGCCGCGUGAGUGAUGAAGGUCUUCGGAUCGUAAAACUCUGUUAUUAGGGAAGAACAUAUGUGUAAGUAACUGUGCACAUCUUGACGGUACCUAAUCAGAAAGCCACGGCUAACUACGUG